GAAGCCAGGCCAAGAAGAAUCCCAGGACUGGAAGGCCUUGUGGGACGUCCCAGGUUUGUCUUGUGUCAAUAGCACUGAUACUCAAUCUCCUACUCCCAUCUGUGAGCAUGCAGACCCUACUUGCCUUCCCACAGCCUCCCUUUUCAUAUUUUUCAUGUUUCUUUAGCUCUGUCUUCAAGCCUUGUUGCUCCCGCAAAAAAACCUGCCUCUUCCUCCAGUCCUCCCAAGCAGGGGGAACAGUCCUGACACCUUUCCAAGCCCUGGUCCAUGGACAUUGUGCCCCCUUCUCCCUGCCCAUGGUGACCUGCUCCAAAACCCUCAAGGAGAAGGGAGUGUAUGUCAUUUCCUCCCUGUAAAGUAAAGAUAAUUUUGCAGGGGACUGUGUGGAUGAAAUGACAUGAUGCAUGGAAAUCCCUUAGCGUGUGCCUGGCAUGUAAACUGCAGGUGUCAUCAUUAUUACUGAGGAAUACUGAGUCCCGAACAUGGCUGUCUCAUUGGUGGACUGGGGUCUCCCCCAGGGCAUUCAUCUACUAUGUGUUUAUUGCACCCUUUUUCCAUGUGAGGCACAUGCCAGGGACUGGGCACAUGGUAUGAACAAGACACAGGUCAUCGGUGUCCUCUUGAGCUCCCUGGCUUGGCAGCAGAUGCAUACCUGGGAAGGAUGCUAGGUCAUCCGGGAACUCUACCUCCUUCAAAUCCCUAAGGACUGUGCUCCCAAUCCGCUUACGCUCAAGGAAGAACUGAGACCAGGCCCACAGAGUAUGGCUGUGCAAGUUGUUCACUCUACAAGGGCACCUGGCCGGGGUCUUACCUUGAAUGGAGGAGAAGAGCUUGAAGAUGAGGGGACAGGCCAAGACAACUACCUGGCCCCGAGGGGUGGCUGGCCAGCAGAUGAGGAAAUGGAGGCACAGACUGAUUAGAAAACCAGCUCAAGGUCAUGUUGCUGCUCUCUCAUUCCUGUUGAGGGCUCUCUGGUGGAGCCUCUGUCUCACAGGUCACCUGCAGGCCAACACUCCCAGAAGCAGCUAGCACCAUGGUUGACCUCGUCCAGGUCCAGGGAAGGCCUCCCUCUCCAGGACUCCUUUAGAUUUCCCCAGCAUCCAGACCUCACCUGCCUAAGUGCUGUUGCCCUGGAAGCCACAGUGAGCACGAGCUCCAUCUUGCACCUUUACCAGCCAAUGGGGGUAAAGACAUUAGCUGCUCGCUGGACAGUCCCGUCAGACACAGACAUGAAACUCCUGCGAGAAGACCAAGCCCUGGAUAAUAUCACCACUCAUCCUGUGGCACUUCAUUACAUUCCGGCUGGGGAUAUUUGAAUAUUAGAUAUUAAGCAAUUCCUGUCAAUUUUGUUAGGUGUGUAAUGACAGUAUCAUAGUUAUAUAGAAGAGUGUCCUUUGGUUUUAGAGAUGCAUUCUGAAAUGAUUUGGGGUAAAAGGUCAGGAGGUUUAUAAUUUACUUUAAAAUACUUCAGCCCAAAAGCAAAUGAAGCAUAUAUUAAUUGUUAGAUGUUAACAAUUGUC
rnacentral:lncRNA from 1 species